GGAUUAGAUACCCUGGUAGUCCACGCCGUAAACGAUGUCAACUAGCUGUUUGUGUUCUUGAAACGUGAGUAGCGUAGCUAACGCGCUAAGUUGACCGCCUGGGGAGUACGGCCGCAAGGUUAAAACUCAAAUGAAUUGACGGGGGCCCGCACAAGCGGUGGAGCAUGUGGUUUAAUUCGAUGCAACGCGAAGAACCUUACCAUCCCUUGACAUCCAGAGAAUUUACUAGAGAUAGUUUAGUGCCUUCGGGAACUCUGAGACAGGUGCUGCAUGGCUGUCGUCAGCUCGUGCCG
rnacentral:rRNA from 1 species